GGACUUCAACGACGUUUUGAACGUCAUGGAGCAUAUGAGAUGUUCCAGGAGUUGAAGUUAAUAUUUCAAGCAAAUGCCCGGAUUGAGAGAUAUGAAGUCUCCAAUAAGUUCUAUUGCUGCAAAAUGGAGGAGAACAGUUUUGUCAGUGAGCAUAUACUCAAAAUGUCUGGGUGUAAUAAUCACUUGAUUAAAAUGGGAGUUAAUCUUCCAGAUGAUUGCGUCAUUGACAGAAUUCUCCAAUCACUGCCACCAAGCUACAAGAGCUUCGUGAUGAACUAUAAUAUGCAAGGGAUGAAUAAGACUAUUCCCGAGCUCUUCGCAAUGCUGAAAGCUGCGGAGGUAGAAAUCAAAAAGGAGCAUCAAGUGUUGAUGGUCAACAAGACCACUAGUUUCAAGAAAAAG
rnacentral:rRNA from 1 species